GACAGAGGUCCCAAGCGUUAGGCGGAAUCACUGGGCUUAAAGCGUGUGUAGGCGGAUCCGUAAGUACCUUGUGAAAUCCCACGGCUCAACCGUGGAACUGCUGGGUAUACUGCGGGUCUUGAGCCACCUAGGGGCGAGCGGAACAAGUGGUGGAGCGGUGAAAUGCGUAGAUAUCACUUGGAACGCCAAUGGUGAAAACAGCUCGCUGGGGUGUGCUGACGCUGAGACACGAAAGCCAGGGGAGCAAACGGG
rnacentral:rRNA from 1 species